rnacentral:lncRNA from 1 species
CAGGGCCGGGGAUUUAGCUCAGUGGUUCUGCUGCCUUGCAAGCACAAGGACCCAAGUUCAAUCCCCGGUACCAGAAAAAAAAAGAGAAAGAAAGUAAUCUGGUAGCCCUGAACUCCCUUAGUUUCUUCAUCUGCUGCAUUAAAUCCAGUUCCUGCCUGAGGUGAUCCCCUAACUUGCUUCCUAAAAUAUAUUUGGACCUCCUCAGAAUCUCACAGUCCUCUUUUCUCUGCCUCUUCUAGCCCUCACCUGUUUAGCCCUACUUAUGGUAGGCUCCACUGAGGGUCAGGCAAUAUUUUCUGCUGGAAGUUAUUUGCUAUGACAUUUGAAUGUAAUCUAAAAUGUUCACCUGACCUGCAGUGCCUCCCAUAGUGUAGAUUUUACUGUCCAAAUUUAUAGCAAACCAUUUUCCAUUCUCCUAUAGGCCUUCAGCUCCAGGCUGAUCUUUGUUUCUUGGAUAAUUAGUUCACUAUCAAGAGACAGAGGGCUGGGGAUUUAGCUCAGUGGUUUGGUGCCUGCCUUACAAGCACAAGGACCUGAGUUCAAUCCCUGCUACCCCCCUCAAAACAGACAGAGACCAACACUAAAAUAGAAACGUAAGUAGUUAAAUAGGAAAUGUUGGCUAAUUAUUAAAAGUGACAAAGACUCAGAUCCACAAGUUGCAGGUACAAAAAAAAAAAAAAGCUACUUUAUAGAAAGAGGGCUUAGAAUAGCAUCCUAUCCCCUAUUUAUUUAUUUAUUUAUUUAUUUAUUUAUUUAUUUAUUUAUGUGGUACCAGGGAUCAAACCCAGGACAUUGUACCUGCAAGUCAGGCACAGUGCCACUAAGCUAAAUUCCCAGCCCCCCCU